UGUUUAUGUGGGUAUAUGACUUUCACUGAAAUUGUCAUAAAAUGAAAUAAAUAUUUGUUUUAGUUCAAGUGAAACUAAUGUUUUAUAGUACAUACUGCUUUUACUUUUUUCGGUGUAGAAUUUCCAAUCCUUCAGUAAUGAAAUGCGGAAAGAAAUUGUAUGAUUUGACAGAAUGUUUUGUUUCAGGAUAAGGGACAACUUUUGUUUGAGGAUAAAUGGCCAGCUGUAAGACCAAUUAUCCUUCAAUUAUUGCAGCAGGAGCCAGUAAUGCAGACUGAAUGGCAAGAACUCAUUUAUUCUGUACAUUUGGUGUGCCUGUGGGAUGAGAAGGGACCACCAAAAGUUAAAGAUUCGCUGAAGAAUGACAAUGGAUUUUAUCAAAAAAGCUCAACAGCGAGUACUGUCACAUCAGGAGGAUCAAGCACUUCUUAAGGCUUAUAUUGCAGAAUGGAGGAAGUUCUUCAUACAGUGUAACUACUUACCAACUCCCUUCAGACAGCUGGAAACAUCUCUCGCAGGAAAGACCAUCUCUGUUGAAAAGAAAGCUCAAAAAGUGACAAAGAGAUGUUACUUUGGUGAUGGAGGCAACAAGGACCUCUGGAAUGUUGGUAAACUUCUACCACACCACGUGCAACCCAGAAGGCAGGCAUCUUCACUAAUUAAAGUGGUUUUUAAGUGUCAUAAAAUUAUAUGAAUUUAUUGCAUAUAUUUUCAAAAAUUUACAAUAUAAGGUAAAAAUGUUAUAUCUGAUAACAUUCUAGUUGUUUUUAUGGUCUUUAUUGGGUAUACAUUUCCUGAGAAAAGCAGGCAAUUACAUUUAUAUAAGAACAUUAUCAUGAGAGACAACUACAUUAUUAGAAAGGUUUUUCUUUUCUAUAUCAUCCAGGUGCAAUACAUGUCUUGAAAGAGUUUGUUGUGUUGAAUGUAUAGGGAAACUAAAAUAAAGGAGAGGUUUAUAUUUUAAAUUGAUAAAAUUCAAUUUUACAAUGACAGAGUACUGAAACAUUUCUUCAGUGUUUCAGGUUAUAUCCCAGAAUUAAUUGUAAUUAUCAUAUUUUUGAAGAGAUUAGUUUGAUUUUUAUAGAAAUAGCACACACAGAGAAGUUAAGUAAGUGUUCAUGUUUCAUCACCAGAAUUUAGGGCUAAAUUUCAGGUACUGUGGCAUGAUAUGAAACACAAGUUACUUUCAAGAUUAAAUUAAGAGCAGAUUGAAUUCAGGGGAAUGUUUGCUUCACUCUUUUGUCUUCCUGCAUCCAAUCUGAAAUCCUAAGAUUAAUGUGUAAAAGCUAUAAUUUUACUUUUCUUUUUUGUGGAUGUGAAAUCUGGUCUCCCAACCUAAUGGAAGACCAUAGAUGAAGGCGUUUGGAAAGAAAGUCAUGGGGAGAAUACUUGUACCUAAAGGGUAGGAAGGAGCAAGAGGGUUGAAAGUGUUAUAUAAUCAGGUGCCUUGUAAUUUGUGCUCUUCACCAAAUAUUAUUAGGAUAGUCAAAUAAGAGACGAUUAAAUUAGCAGGAAGUAGCGUGUGUGUGAAGGAUGUGAAAUGCAUACACAGUUCUAGCCAGCAAAGUGCAGGGAAGGGACCACAUGGUAGACCUAAACAUAGGUGGUAAGAUAAUAGUAAAAUGGAUCUUCAAGGAAUAGGGUGUAAACUGGAUUUUCUUGACUGAGGAUCAUGUAAAAUUACAAGCUGUUAUAAACACAGUAAUAAACCUUAUCAUUCCACAAGAAGCGAGCAGAUUCUUGAUGCUGCAUUGAGAAGGUACAUAGUUGAACAGAUUAUUUUUUACUGCUGUAAUUGUUAUAUUCUUGUUUUAGUUGAUGUUGGACAGCUGGAAUCAAAGCAUAUUUUGUGACAUUAAGCAGCGAUUGCAGGACUCUGUCAUGAAGUUGGUGCAUGCAGAGAAUGGAGAAGCGUUUGAUUCACAGUUGGUUAUUGGAGUCAGGGAAUCUUAUGGUAAUUAAUAGUGGUUUUAAACAUUUAUACUUUUUGAUAAAUGGUAUUGCUCCUUAAAGGCAGCAUGGUUUGAUAAAUAUUUUAGUGCAUAUAUGGGCACUUAAGGGUGGGCUUGUAACUCUGGGAGCUUUUGUGGAUAUUGUUUAUGCAUUUGACAGUAGCACCUCCUGAGUUCAUAGCUAAGAGCAUAGGGUGGAGUGAGGUGUGGUCAUAUGUAGUGAUGAAAAUAAACCUUUAAGGAACAUUUAUAUGUGAUGCAGAUUUUCCUAACAUUAUUAAAAUUAUAAGGAGUGCAUGUUUCUUCUUCUUCUUCCUCCCCACUGCCAGCAAUAAGAAAGAAAGCUUGUAUGGAAGCAACGGAAGCAUUCUAUAAAAUGAAAGCACCUCAGUAUCUUCAAACAAAUGGUGUUUAAAAGUACAUGAAAUAUGCUGAUACCAAACUUAGGGAAGAAGAGUAGCGUGCACAGAAGUAUCUUGAAUCAUGUAGUGGAUCAGUGCAAGUUGUAAGUACAUUACGCAAUUUACAUGAAGAUCAAUGAUUAUUGGAUAUGUGGUACACAAUAUCAAUAUACUGUUGUGAUAGAAUUUUUGUUACGCAUUUUCAGCUGUCUGAUUAACAGUAUCAAAAUGUGUAGGCAGCAUUCCACAAGUUGAGUUUGUCUGUGUUCUUAUAGAAGGUGUGGUGAUAAGGAAUAGAUUUAUGUAAUGUAUUAAUACUUUUAUGUUGUCUCUGAAUAUGGAGAAGG